UGAUUCCCUAUAUACCUUUUCGGAUAUUCUUUAUUGUCAUUGACAUAGUUUUUUCGUAUGGUUUCUCACACACUCUGUUGCCUGCACAGAGGAUCGAGCUCGCAUUGAAGAGAUUCGGAAGCAACAUAAUAUUUUCCAAUGGGAUGCAAGAUCCAUGGAGUAGAGGAGGUGUGCUGAAGAAUAUAUCUUCUAGUAUCAUAGCUCUUGUCACUAAGAAAGGAGCUCACCAUGUCGAUUUUCGAUUCGAAACAAAAGAUGAUCCAGAUUGGCUUGUAGAGCUUAGAAGACAAGAAGUUGACAUCAUUCAGAAGUGGAUACAUGAGUACCAUGCAGAUGUAAGACAAGGAUAGUCAGUCAAUGUUGCAAGAGCUCAGAUUUGUAAGAACUUGCAGAAGAAGUAAAUCAAUCUAUUGAAACUUCUUUAUCUUGCGAAGUCUCUUGUCAACUAUCUCACAAUCAUAAAAAUUAUAUAAAAUGAAUGCAUAUUCAACCAAUCAAUGCAUUUUAUUGAUUGUUUGUUAUGUGCAGUAAUUGUAAAAAGGAUUUUCUUUUAAUAUACUGGGUGGAUGUUAAACU